rnacentral:misc_RNA from 1 species
UUUCCGUAGGUGAACCUGCGGAAGGAUCAUCAACAAAACAAAAUUCAAAACAAAAAACAAACAACACCAAUUUCAUUCCAAAAUUAUAUUGGAAUGUUUUUUUAAUGGGGAUGUGGAGAUUUCUAAUUUUUUUAAUUAGAUUUUUCUCAUGCCCCAUCAUUUAAAACUCCUAAAAAAACAAAUUAAAAAAUCAUUCCAAAAAAUUUUAAAAUAUAAAAAUAGAGACAACUUUUAACAAUGGAUCUCUUGGCUCUC